AGGUUCAAAGGCACAUUGCCAUGAUUGGAAGUGCCUCAUUCAUUAAAGCCUGAUUAUUGGUUGAUGUUGGCUAACAUUGUGUUGUUUUGUAGGCUUUGAGAACAAAUUCACUUGUGCUUGUGCCUUGCUCAUUGUCUGAUGAGGCUUUGUCUGUCUGUUUAAUAUUGACUGUUGGUUGUUUGUCUAUACAGUUUAACUGAUUCUGUUUGACUUUUGUACAGGUACACUUAGUUGCUCAGUUCUCUUAAGAACUUGCAUUGCUUUGCUUAUAAGCAAUUGGCAUU
rnacentral:lncRNA from 1 species